rnacentral:rRNA from 1 species
AGAGUUUGAUCCUGGCUCAGAUUGAACGCUGGCGGUAUGCCUAACACAUGCAAGUCGAACGAGGUAGUAAUACCUAGCGGCGGACGGGUGAGGAAUACGUAGGGAUCUGCCCUUAAGUGGGGGAUAACCCGGGGAAACCCGGAUUAAUACCGCAUGAUCUCGCAAGAGCAAAGAGGGGGACCGCAAGGCCUCUCGCUUUUGGAGGAACCUACGUCGGAUUAGCUAGUUGGUGAGGUAACGGCUCACCAAGGCGACGAUCCGUAACUGGUCUGAGAGGAUGAUCAGUCACACCGGAACUGAGACACGGUCCGGACUCCUACGGGAGGCAGCAGUGGGGAAUAUUGGACAAUGGGCGAAAGCCUGAUCCAGCAAUACCGCGUGUGUGAAGAAGGCCUUCGGGUUGUAAAGCACUUUAAGUUGGGAAGAAAAAGCUUCACCUAAUACGUGGAGCCUUGACGGUACCGACAGAAUAAGCACCGGCUAACUCUGUGCCAGCAGCCGCGGUAAUACAGAGGGUGCUAGCGUUAAUCGGAUUUACUGGGCGUAAAGCGUGCGUAGGCGGUUUGAUAAGUCGGUUGUGAAAGCCCCGGGCUCAACCUGGGAAUUGCGGCCGAUACUGUCAGACUAGAAAACGGUAGAGGGAGGUGGAACUCCAGGUGUAGCGGUGAAAUGCGUAGAUAUCUGGAAGAACACCGAUGGCGAAGGCAGCCUCCUGGGCCUGUUUUGACGCUGAGGCACGAAAGCGUGGGUAGCAAACAGGAUUAGAUACCCUGGUAGUCG